rnacentral:rRNA from 1 species
UACGGAGGGGGCUAGCGUUGUUCGGAAUUACUGGGCGUAAAGCGCACGUAGGCGGCUUUGUAAGUUAGAGGUGAAAGCCCAGGGCUCAACCCUGGAAUUGCCUUUAAGACUGCAUCGCUUGAACAUCGGAGAGGUAAGUGGAAUUCCGAGUGUAGAGGUGAAAUUCGUAGAUAUUGGGAAGAACACCAGUGGCGAAGGCGGCUAACUGGUCCGGUACUGACGCUGAGGUGCGAAAGCGUGGGGAGCAAACAGG